AGGAAUGACAUAAUAAGACACGUCAUGCCAACUAAGGGGCAUCUUAGGUAUUUGGGUUACAUUUUCUUUAGUUUAAUUUCUUUUUGUUAUUAUUUAGUUUAAUUUGUUUUUUGUUAUUGUUAUUGUAGGCCGUUCCUAAUCAGGCCAACUAAGGAACAUUUGGCUCUUCUACAGUCCAAGGGGCAGCUCAGGUAUUUAAGUUACAAUCUCUUUAGUUUAAUUUCUUUUUGUUAUUGUG
rnacentral:lncRNA from 1 species